AAACCAACAGGGAUUGCCUCAGUAGCGGCGAGUGAAGCGGCAAGAGCUCAGAUUUGAAAUCGUGCUUUGCGGCACGAGUUGUAGAUUGCAGGUUGGAGUCUGUGUGGAAGGCGGUGUCCAAGUCCCUUGGAACAGGGCGCCCAGGAGGGUGAGAGCCC
rnacentral:rRNA from 1 species